GACGAACGCUGGCGGCGUGCUUAACACAUGCAAGUCGAACGGAAAGGCCUGCUUUCCCUUGUGGAUUGCGGGUACUCGAGUGGCGAACGGGUGAGUAACACGUGAGUGAUCUGCCCCCAACUUGGGUAUAAGCCUGGGAAACUGGGUCUAAUUCCCGAUAGGACUGCAGGGUGGUGCCUGUGGUGGAAAACGAUUUUCUAGUGGUUGGGGAUGAGCUCGCGGCCUAUCAGCUUGUUGGUGGGGUAAUGGCCUACCAAGGCGGCGACGGGUAGCCGGCCUGAGAGGGUGGACGGCCACAUUGGGACUGAGAUACGGCCCAGACGCCUACGGGAGGCAGCAGUGGGGAAGAUUGCACAAUGGGCGGAAGCCUGAUGCAGCGACGCCGCGGGGGGGAUGACGGCCUUCGGGUUGUAAACUCCUUUCGACCGCGAGGAAGCCACCUGGUUGGAAGGGUGGUGACGGUAGUGGUAGAAGAAGCACCGGCUAACUACGUG
rnacentral:rRNA from 1 species